rnacentral:rRNA from 1 species
GAUGAACGCUGGCGGCGUGCUUAACACAUGCAAGUCGAACGGGAAUGUUUCGCUGAUGCGAUUUCGGUCAAAUCUUGAAGCAUUUUAGUGGCGGACGGGUGAGUAACGCGUGGGUAACCUGCCCUGUACAGGGGGACAACAGUUGGAAACGACUGCUAAUACCGCAUAAGCGCACAGCUUCGCAUGAAGCAGUGUGAAAAACUCCGGUGGUACAGGAUGGACCCGCGUCUGAUUAGAUAGUUGGUGAGGUAACGGCCCACCAAGUCAACGAUCAGUAGCCGGCCUGAGAGGGCGAACGGCCACAUUGGGACUGAGACACGGCCCAAACUCCUACGGGAGGCAGCAGUGGGGAACAUUGCACAAUGGGGGAAACCCUGAUGCAGCGACGCCGCGUGAGUGAAGAAGUAUUUCGGUAUGUAAAGCUCUAUCAGCAGGGAAGAAAACAAUGACGGUACCUGACUAAGAGGCCCCGGCUAACUACGUGCCAGCCGCCGCGGUAA